CAGCGCCCCAAGUGGCAAUCACGAUUAUUGGGCCUAAAGCGUCCGUAGCAGGUUCUGUAAAUCUUUUGUGAAAUCGGCAAGCUUAACUUGUCGGCGUGCAGAGGACACUGCAGGACUCGAGACCGGGAGAGGUUAGAAGUAUUUCCUGGGUACCGGUAAAAUGGGUUAAUCCAGGGAGGACUACCGAUGGCGAAGGCAUCUAACCAGAACGGAUCUGACUGUGAGGGACGAAAGCUGGGGGAGCGAACCGGAUUAGAUACCCGCGUAGUCC
rnacentral:rRNA from 1 species